UACGAAGGGAGCGAGCGUUGUUCGGAAUCACUGGGCUUAAAGCGCACGUAGGCGGAUUGUUAAGUCGGGGGUGAAAUCCUGGAGCUCAACUCCAGAACUGCCUUCGAUACUGGCGAUCUCGAGUUCGGGAGAGGUGAGUGGAACUGCGAGUGUAGAGGUGAAAUUCGUAGAUAUUCGCAAGAACACCAGUGGCGAAGGCGGCUCACUGGCCCGAUACUGACGCUGAGGUGCGAAAGCGUGGGGAGCAAACAGG
rnacentral:rRNA from 1 species